rnacentral:rRNA from 2 species
GAUGAACGCUAGCUACAGGCUUAACACAUGCAAGUCGAGGGGCAGCAUGGUCUUAGCUUGCUAAGGCCGAUGGCGACCGGCGCACGGGUGAGUAACACGUAUCCAACCUGCCGUCUACUCUUGGACAGCCUUCUGAAAGGAAGAUUAAUACAAGAUGGCAUCAUGAGUCCGCAUGUUCACAUGAUUAAAGGUAUUCCGGUAGACGAUGGGGAUGCGUUCCAUUAGAUAGUAGGCGGGGUAACGGCCCACCUAGUCUUCGAUGGAUAGGGGUUCUGAGAGGAAGGUCCCCCACAUUGGAACUGAGACACGGUCCAAACUCCUACGGGAGGCAGCAGUGAGGAAUAUUGGUCAAUGGGCGAGAGCCUGAACCAGCCAAGUAGCGUGAAGGAUGACUGCCCUAUGGGUUGUAAACUUCUUUUAUAAAGGAAUAAAGUCGGGUAUGCAUACCCGUUUGCAUGUACUUUAUGAAUAAGGAUCGGCUAACUCCGUGCCAGCAGCCGCGGUAAUACGGAGGAUCCGAGCGUUAUCCGGAUUUAUUGGGUUUAAAGGGAGCGUAGAUGGAUGUUUAAGUCAGUUGUGAAAGUUUGCGGCUCAACCGUAAAAUUGCAGUUGAUACUGGAUAUCUUGAGUGCAGUUGAGGCAGGCGGAAUUCGUGGUGUAGCGGUGAAAUGCUUAGAUAUCACGAAGAACUCCGAUUGCGAAGGCAGCCUGCUAAGCUGCAACUGACAUUGAGGCUCGAAAGUGUGGGUAUCAAACAGGAUUAGAUACCCUGGUAGUCCACACGGUAAACGAUGAAUACUCGCUGUUUGCGAUAUACGGCAAGCGGCCAAGCGAAAGCGUUAAGUAUUCCACCUGGGGAGUACGCCGGCAACGGUGAAACUCAAAGGAAUUGACGGGGGCCCGCACAAGCGGAGGAACAUGUGGUUUAAUUCGAUGAUACGCGAGGAACCUUACCCGGGCUUAAAUUGCAGAUGAAUUACGGUGAAAGCCGUAAGCCGCAAGGCAUCUGUGAAGGUGCUGCAUGGUUGUCGUCAGCUCGUGCCGUGAGGUGUCGGCUUAAGUGCCAUAACGAGCGCAACCCUUGUUGUCAGUUACUAACAGGUUCUGCUGAGGACUCUGACAAGACUGCCAUCGUAAGAUGUGAGGAAGGUGGGGAUGACGUCAAAUCAGCACGGCCCUUACGUCCGGGGCUACACACGUGUUACAAUGGGGGGUACAGAGGGCCGCUACCACGCGAGUGGAUGCCAAUCCCCAAAACCUCUCUCAGUUCGGACUGGAGUCUGCAACCCGACUCCACGAAGCUGGAUUCGCUAGUAAUCGCGCAUCAGCCACGGCGCGGUGAAUACGUUCCCGGGCCUUGUACACACCGCCCGUCAAGCCAUGGGAGCCGGGGGUACCUGAAGUGCGUAACCGCGAGGAGCGCCCUAGGGUAAAACUGGUGACUGGGACUAAG